rnacentral:lncRNA from 1 species
AGUUAGUCUGUGUCUCGUUCUCCACACACGGACACAUACCAAGAUCACGUGUUUUCUAUAUGCACAAGAUAGUUUGACUAUAUAAGACUUCUGAACUCCUUGUGUCAUCGAGCUCUCGGCCUUCCACCUCAGAGUGUAGGACUGACCAGCUACAUUAUUGAAAUUCUUAUCAAAUAAAGGUUGAUUGUAUGAAGAAAUAACAAAGUCUCUCCUGAUUGGUUAGAUUUUCCACCACAAUGUGCAGUAGGCUUUUUCAAUACCAACAACGAUAGACCAGACUCGAAGUACAGAAUGAAUGACUGACUGCCCAGAUCAACAUCAGUUCACCGUCUCACCUCAUACUGUAUUGGAGCAGCAGCAGCUGACAUGAUCCUUGAUGCUAAUCAUCAUGUUUUGAAUCUGAGAGUAAAUAGAGCCGACUACAACUCUAAAAAUGAAGGGUUCAACUGGAAUUGUUCUCAGAUCCCCUAAGAACCGUAGGGUUCUUGGUCAAUGAAAACAGCCCCAAAAGGUUCUUCAAAGAACUUGUUAGAAGGUGGGUUCAUCGAGGAACCUCCGUUGUUGCUGGACUUCUUCCGGGAACUUCGCAAUUACAACUGAAAACGAUGGUGACAAGUUUGGAUGCGACAACAAGAUAAAAAGGGCAGGACAUGGACACAAUGCAAUUAGGAUCAAGAAGAAGAUCUUCUCAGAAAUGAAUCAAGUCCAUGGAAUGGAUAUAGACAAAAAGAGAAAUAAAGGACAAUCAGAGGGAGAGGUGAGGCAGGGGUGAGGACAUCAUCCUGCCAUCUUGACAGUCCCUGAAGGACAGUACAGAAGAGGUAAUUGCUCUUAUUCCUUCCCUUUCUCUAAUGUAUUUUUUAAAUCAAAUUAGCAACUGUAGUAAGAUCAUUGCUUUACUUUACUAGGACUGGAGACCACAGCAGUGAUUCUGCUUUUGCCCAACCUCUUCAAUGAGGACCCGCGUGGCCUGUAUGUUCGUGACAAGAUUUCACUGCUCUUCACUCCUUUCUGGCACAUCAGUGGAAAUCCAUUUCACCACGAGAGUGAAAUCCCGCUGGCCUUUGAUGGGGAGAACAUCCACGCCUCGAGGACGUCCCCAUGGGACUUGGGGCUCUGCUAGGGCUGAAUUUGUAAUUUUCCCCAAAAUGUCAGAAAAACACUUAUGUUGAUAAGUUACUGUGUUCUGGGGAUAAGAGAAGUUGGGGUGAAGUUACCAGGGCCGGUCAUAAAGAUGGCAAACUUCCUAACAUAACUAAGUGGAUACGAUAUACACACCAAAGCUGAAACAUCUGUAUUUAGCAUCAAGUCUACAAUAUUGUUAGUUUACCUAUGAUUCAUUUUUAAUGUAUGUUGUUUUUAUUGUACAUCAUUUAUAUAUAUUUAUCAAAUGAGGAGACAAACUUAUCACACAAGUCAGAGUUAUUCUGAAACUAAAUCGUUAUUCACUUAUUAAUAAGGGAGCAGGUCAAUACAACGCACACAUAUAAUGUUAAUUAAUUGAGUGUUCUACAAUAAUGAUGGCUGGUCGACGAAUCACCCCCAGAUGAUUCGUUGAGAGCCACGAGACAAAAGCACAAAGGUCUUGCAUAGCCAAGAUAUACCCUUUUCAAUCUACAUGAUAAACAACAGAUGUAUAGAACGGGUCACAAGAUUAAGAUUUGUAUGAAAGAUACUUAUAAUUUUCAGCAGACAGUAUCUGCUGUAAAAACAGUACUCUUUGUGUAGAGACCAGGGUCUGGCCCUGCGGUCAUCUCCCCCUGGUACCAUAUAGAACAGAAACAUUAACUCAUGCUCUGGAAUCCGGUCUCGUUAGGUUUUAUCACCCAAAAGACAUUGUAAAUCUCCUAUCAGUGUUUUCUCCCAGAGGCCCAUCCUCAGUAGAACACACAGACACAAUAGUUAUAAGAACCCUCUAUUCUGUUGCAAUAAAACAACCAUUUGAUGCAAUAAAAGUAUUAUAAAUAAUCUUGCAAAUUUUCUCUCAGUAUCCACUGAAAGUUGACUAGUAACAACAAUUGGGAUAUAAAAGUCACCCACCAUGAAACCCACUAAAUCUGCCCAAGAAGCGACAAACAAAAGAAAAACCCACAACAAACUUAAAAACGGGAAGUAAAACCAAAAAGGUGGAGCAACUAAAGGUGUUGACUCUCCACAUCUAUCAAAACAACUGGAGCACUGGGCCAGACACUCUUAAAUAGAACCUGGACCAGCUCAGGUGAAACACCUGUUGGGGAAUAAUCAGAAUUGGUUGGUAACAUAGGUAAGAUGUUUUAUAUUCAUCAUAUGUUUGUAAGUUACUUCUCAUCAGAAUGUUGUUUUUGUAUAAUACUGUGGCGGGGUUGCAGUAUCUGUUCUAUGUCAAGACUAAGUUGCUUGGGCCGGAGAGAGGGGAGAAGUGAAGUGUGUAUCUCUUGGCUCCACAAUGUCUGUGUGCCAGUCAGUGUGUCUCUGUGAUCUUGUCAAGAUAGGAUGGAUUUGAUAUAUGCCUGUUGAUAUGGAGAAUUGGUUUAUGGUUCUGAGUUUGAGAAAAUAACAUAGUUUAGGAGACAAAGCUGAACGAUUUAUUAUGUCUAUGCUGUCUGACUAUGUGUGUUUUUUGCUAUUAAAGGAUAUCAGCUGCAAUGUGUAAGGAACUCUCAGAGAAUUCAUUGAUAGACACUGAAUUGAUCUGAGAGUCACAGGGUUGUGAUAGAGCUCAUAUAAUUAAAGAUGGACUUUGAUAACUAACUCUGACUUGUGUGUGGUUUGCUCUCAUGAUUUGGUAAAUAGAGGAAAUUUCCAUGACACACCUUCCCACUAACGAGAUGGACAAGCCAGCACAGGUGUAACACAUACUGACUAACGAGGUGACACCAAUCAGUGCUCCCUACGUGCUAACGAGCUAUACGUGCUAAAUAAAGUCCAACCUCAAAACAUAAAUGUAAAAACCAAAGCCUGUAAAACCUUCCCCUUUAAGACAAUAUAUCCUAUAUUUUUGAUGGACGAGUUUUCUCACCACCAACAGAAAACAACUUCCAUUUCCACUUCCAACUUCCAUUAUAAUCAACGACAAUGCUUCACCUUCAAAAAUAUAAACACAUAAUAUAAACAAUUAACACGUAUUUCUAAAUAAUAAUAAAC